rnacentral:rRNA from 1 species
GAUGAACGCUGGCGGCGUGCCUAAUACAUGCAAGUCGAGCGAACUGAUUAGAAGCUUGCUUCUAUGACGUUAGCGGCGGACGGGUGAGUAACACGUGGGCAACCUGCCUGUAAGACUGGGAUAACUUCGGGAAACCGAAGCUAAUACCGGAUAGGAUCUUCUCCUUCAUGGGAGAUGAUUGAAAGAUGGUUUCGACUAUCACUUACAGAUGGGCACGCGGUGCAUUAGCUAGUUGGUGAGGUAACGGCUCACCAAGGCAACGAUGCAUAGCCGACCUGAGAGGGUGAUCGGCCACACUGGGACUGAGACACGGCCCAGACUCCGACGGGAGGCAGCAGUAGGGAAUCUUCCGCGAUGGACGAAAGUCUGACGGAGCAACGCCGCGUGAGUGAUGAAGGCUUUCGGGUCGUAAAACUCUGUUGUUAGGGAAGAACAAGUACAAGAGUAACUGCUUGUACCUUGACGGUACCUAACCAGAAAGCCACGGCUAACUACGUGCCAGCAGCCGCCGUAAAAC